CUGAAGUCACAUGAGUGUUGCCAGCCGAAUUUGGGUACUUCCACUUUAAGUUCUCUGAUAAAGUAGCUUAAUGAUGGGGGUAUUUUAUUGACUCGUUUAAUAGAAUCAUAAAGACCAUAAAGCAACCUUGCAGGUUGCCACUUUCUCUCUUACUAACUGUGUGACGUUGGACAAGUCUUGUUACUUCUCCAUUUCCUUAUCUAUAAAGCAGGACAAUUCCUUUUGUAAAAAGAAAAAUGAUAGCAAAAUGUAUUGACUACAUACUGUGUACCAGACAUUGAGGUUGGUCCAGGGAAGUAAUCAAGGAUGGAACAAGCACAGACAGUCCUCUCAAGGAAUUUAAGACAACAAGGAGAAUCGAGCCAAGGAGAACAAUAGUAACACAAGACAGACAGGAGACGGGUCAGAGAAAUGCACGAACUGAAGUGUUGGAGCGUAGACCAUGACCACUUCCUCGUUGUCUGACUUUAUUCUGACUGGAAAGGCGUUCAGCAAAGGACUAGAUGGGUUUUGUCAUCAUCAGAGCUGCAGAACAUAUACACCUGAAUUUUGAUAUAUAUGAUAAAUAUAUGAACAGCAUGUUCUUGUCUCAGUAAGGUCACACCAGCUUCUGAGAAGGGCAGAUUUUCAACUUAAUAAUACAGAACUUCCUCUGCAAUAAAAUCAUGACCUGUCGCUGAAUGGUGUUUUGAAGAAGAAGAUAAAGAUGGUCCUUGGGGAUGGAGGAAUUAGACUGACGUUUCUAAGGACUGCUCAGACUGGGCUUAUGGAGAAGCUGGGAGAGAAGAGAAGACUAGAGGCCUGUGGGGCAAUGAGAAC
rnacentral:lncRNA from 1 species